rnacentral:rRNA from 1 species
UAGAGUAAUGCGUGACCAACCUGCCCCAUGCUCCAGAAUAGCUCUUGGAAACGGGUGGUAAUGCUGGAUGCUCCAACUUGACGCAUGUCUUGUUGGGAAAGUGUUUAGUGGCAUGGGAUGGGGUCGCGUCCUAUCAGCUUGUAGGCGGGGUAAUGGCCCACCUAGGCUUCGACGGGUAGCCGGCCUGAGAGGGCGGACGGCCACAUUGGGACUGAGAUACGGCCCAGACUCCUACGGGAGGCAGCAGUA